rnacentral:rRNA from 1 species
AUGGGCCUCGUCGGGCCCCGGCGGGGCGUCCCCGGCGGCGCCGUCGUCUUCGCCACCGCGGUGGCCCUGAUACAGAUAGUUUUUCUUGUACAUCCCACAAGCGCACAGCAAUCACCAAGGGUGGUACCUGCAGAAGGGUACUGUUCCAUGUAUGGAAUUUGUGCAAAUCGAACUGAUGGGAAAGUCUUAAACUGUGUGAAUGCAACAAAAGCUGUUAAGCCAGAUACUUUGUUUUCCACAAGGAUCCAGAGUUUGUGCCCCACUAUUACUGGUGAUGUCUGUUGUACUGUUGAUCAGUUCGACACAUUACACCAACAAGUCCAACAGGCUGUCCCAUUUCUUGUUGGAUGCCCAGCUUGCUUGAGGAAUUUCUUGAAUCUCUUUUGUGAAAUGUCUUGUUCCCCAAACCAAAGCCUCUUCAUUAACGUGACUUCAGCAAAACAGGUUAAGAACAUUACAACUGUUGAUGGUAUAGAUUACUACAUAACAAGCAACUAUGGUGAAGAGUUAUACAACUCUUGUAAGGAAGUUAAGUUUGGCACUCUGAACACACGCGCAAUGGAUUUUCUUGGUGGAGGUGCUAAAACUUACAAAGAGUGGUUGGCAUUUCUUGGGCGUCAGGCAAAUCCCAAUGAGCCUGGGUCACCUUAUUUGAUAACAUACCGACCUGAUUUGAGUGGUUCAUCUGGGGUGAAGCCACUAAAUACUACAGUUUAUUCUUGUGGAGAUCCAUCUUUGGGCUGCUCAUGUGGGGAUUGUCCUUCUUCUUCAGUUUGCAUGGGAUCCUUGUUGCCUCAGUCGAUGACUGAAACUUCCUGUUCAGUCAAAAUGGGUUCUCUAAAGGCCGGAUGCUUGGACUUCUCACUAGCGGUUGUGUACAUUGUGUUUUUGUGUGCAAUUUUAUUGUGGGGCUUAUUAUACAGAACACGAGGAAGAACAGGCUUCCCCUCACAAACAAAACCACCAAAGAAUGCUGAUGAUAAGUUGCAUUCAAACAACAAUGGCAAUGUUCCUGAAAACUCUGUUCAGGUGCCCAAAGCUGCAUCAUCUUCUAUUGUCCAAACUUACAUGUCAACCUUCUUUAGGAGGCAUGGAGUUUUUGUUACUAGACACCCGCUUCUUGUGUUAUGUGCAUCCUUACUUGUCCCUAUCCUAUUAUGCAUUGGUCUUAUCCGUUUCAAGGUGGAAACAAGACCGGAAAAGCUUUGGGUUAGCCCUGGAAGUCAGACUGCCUAUGAAAAGCAAUAUUUUGACAGUCAUCUUGCACCAUUUUAUAGGAUUGAGCAGCUUGUAUUAGCCACUUCAGCGUCUGGCCAGCUUGAAGCUCCUACAAUAGUAAAUGAUAACAAUUUCAAAUUGCUAUUUCAGAUUCAGAAAAAGAUUGAUGAUCUGCGUGCCAAUUAUUCUGGAUCGACAGUAUCCCUUGCUGAUAUCUGCCUAAAGCCACUCAGUACAGAUUGUGCUACCCAAAGUGUUUUGCAGUAUUUCCAGCUGGAUCCUAAAAAGCAUGAUGAUUUAGGUAUAGAUCAUGCUAAAUUUUGCUUUGAGCAUUACAGUUCUGAAGAGACAUGUUUGAGCACUUUUCAAUCACCUAUUGACCCUAGUACAAUAUUAGGUGGUUUUCCAGGUAGCAAUUUUACCGAGGCUUCUGCAUUUGUAAUAACAUAUCCCGUGAACAACAAGGUUGAGACAACAGGACAAGAGAAUGGAAAGGCUAUGGCUUGGGAAAGGGCAUAUAUUAAUCUUGUUAAGGAAGAAAUACUGCCGAUGGUACUAGCACAGAACCUUACAUUAUCCUUUUCAUCCGAGAGCUCUAUUAAAGAUGAAUUAAACAGAGAGAGUACAGCUGACGCAAUUACAAUAGUGAUAAGCUAUAUUGUGAUGUUUGCGUACAUAUCAUUCACACUUGGAGACCGUCCUUCUCGUUUGUGGGCAUUAUUUGUCUCAUCAAAGGUACUGCUUGGCUUAUCUGGGGUUGUCCUAGUGAUGCUUUCAGUUUUAGGAUCAAUGGCAUUCUUUAGUGCUGUUGGAGUGAAGUCGACUUUAAUCAUAAUGGAAGUAAUUCCUUUUCUUGUGCUGGCGGUCGGUGUGGACAACAUGUGUAUCCUUGUGCAUGCUGUCAAGCGACAACCAGAUGGGAUAGUAUUGGAAGAACGUAUAAGUAAUGCAUUGGUGGAAGUUGGGCCAUCCAUUACGUUAGCCAGUUUGGCUGAAGUUUUAGCUUUUUCUGUCAGUGCAAUCAAUCCAAUGCCUGCCACCAGAGCAUUUUCUAUGUUUGCCGCAAUGGCAGUUCUUCUGGAUUUCCUUCUCCAAGUGACAGCCUUCGUAGCCCUUAUUGUAUAUGAUUUUAGGAGGGCAGAAGAUGGCAGGAUUGAUUGUGUUCCUUGUGCAAGACUUAAAUCGAGCACUGUUGCUGGCGACAAUGGUGGCCACCAGCGGCUUCACUUUGUUGCACGCUAUAUGAAGGAUAUUCAUGGGCCAAUCCUCGGUUACCGACCAGUGAAGUUUAUCGUGAUUGCUGUAUUUGUUGGAUUAGCAUUUGCAAGCAUUGCAAUGUCAACUAGACUACAACCCGGAUUGGAGCAGAAAAUCGUUCUUCCACGAGAUUCGUAUUUACAGGGUUACUUUGACGACCUUGAGAAGUAUAUGAAAGUUGGACCGCCACUGUAUUUUGUUGUGAAGAACUUCAAUUACAGCUCUGCAUCGGAAAAUACUAAUCAGAUAUGUUCCAUCAACCAGUGUAAUUCAAACUCUCUUCUGAAUGAGAUAGCAAGACAAUCUUUAUCUCCUGAAACAAGUUACAUAGCAAAACCUGCUGCCUCAUGGCUUGAUGACUUCCUAAUAUGGAUGUCUCCCGAAGCAUUUGGAUGCUGUCGAAAAUUUGUUAAUGGAAAUUAUUGCCCUCCAGAUGAUCAGCCUCCUUGCUGUCAACUCGAUCAAGAUUCAGGUUCAUGCAGUUCAAAUGGAGCGUGCAAUAAUUGUACAACGUGUUUCCUACAUUCGGACUUACACAAUGGGCGUCCAUCCACAACGCAAUUUAAAGAGAAACUUCCAUGGUUUCUGGAUGCACUACCAUCAAGUGACUGUUCUAAAGGGGGAAAAGGAGCUUAUUCUACAAGUUUGGACCUCAGUGGUUAUGAAAAUGGCAAUAUACAAGCAUCAGCAUUCCGUACAUACCAUACUCCCCUUAAUAAACAGACUGACUAUGUUAACUCAUUGAGAGCUGCUCGGGACUUCAGUUCUCAAAUGUCCAAAGAUUUACAGAUGGAAAUUUUCCCAUAUUCAGUGUUCCAUAUAUUUUUUGAGCAAUACCUCAGCGUAUGGAAGACAGCCAUCAUGAAUAUAUGUGUUUGCCUUGGUGCAGUAUUUGUUGUUUGUUUAGUAGUCACCAGCAGUUUGUGGGCUUCAGCAAUCAUUUUGAUUGUUCUGGCCAUGAUAGUCUUGGAUCUGAUGGGAGUGAUGGCUGUCCUUGGAAUUCAGCUCAAUGCAAUAUCUAUUGUAAACCUUGUUAUGUCGAUAGGAAUUGCUGUUGAAUUCUGUGUUCAUAUCACACACGCCUUUAUGAUAGGCAUCGGGGAUAGAGAAAACCGUGUAAGGCAGGCUCUAUCGACGAUGGGUGCUUCUGUAUUCAGUGGAAUUACCUUGACCAAACUUGUAGGAGUUAUUGUCCUUCGUUUUGCAAAAUCUGAAGUUUUUGUGGUGUAUUACUUCCAAAUGUACCUGGCACUCGUCCUCAUUGGCUUUCUGCAUGGGCUUAUCUUCCUACCGGUUGUGUUGAGUCUGUGUGGCCCUCCUCAAAAAACCAUGAAACCGAUUGAACAAAGUCAGACUCCGCCUUCAAAUGAGCAAACUUGA